UCCUCAGUAGCUCAGCGGUAGAGCGGUCGACUGUUAAUCGAUUGGUCGCUGGUUCGAAUCCAGCCUGGGGAG
rfam:Pseudanabaena sp. PCC 7367, complete genome.